rnacentral:rRNA from 1 species
UAGGGAAUCUUCCACAAUGGGCGGCAAGCCUGAUGGAGCAACACCGCGUGAGUGAAGAAGGGUUUCGGCUCGUAAAGCUCUGUUGUUGGAGAAGAACGUGCGUGAGAGUAACUGUUCACGCAGUGACGGUAUCCAACCAGAAAGUCACGGCUAACUACGUGCC